CUGGUUUUAGACAGAAGGUCCACAUAGGUGCCAAACAGCAUUUUUACCAAGAACCCUUAUCUUCCUCUUACUCCUUUUUUUUUUUGGUACCGGGGAUCGAACUAGGGUCCUUGCGCUUGCGCAGCAGGCAGCAAAACCACUGAGCUAAAUCCCCGGCCCCUCCUCCUUCUCCUCUUACUACCUGCAUGUGACCGUGUUACAGCCCCUCUCACCCUCAAACCCUUCCCAAAUCCCACACCCCCAGGAGCAUAGAAAAAAUCUUACAAAGGAAUUAUUUACUGUAGGGCCACAUGAUUACAGAUGCUCAGUAUCAUCAUGGGAGCUUUAGGUAGGGAAAACUUGGGAAAUGAAUGCCUGAAUAAGGGUAUAAAAGAGACAAAGAAAGAGAGGUGUUUCUUUUCUAAAUUUGUGCUCUUCUUAAAAAAUAUACAUUACAUUCUCAUAAAGGAAAAUACAGCCGCAUUUAAAGGAUUUCCUUUCACCAAAUUGUCUCCGGUCCCUUAAUUGUAUUUAAGCCUGGCUGAGUACUUUGUUUACGGUCCCUAGUGCCGGUUGCGUCUCCCUCUGGCUUGCUGGGCUGGCAGUGGUCUCAGUCUCAUUCUGGCGGAGAAAGGUAAGGAUCUUUUCCUUGCUCUUUGAAAGAUCUGGGAGAGAAAUGCAGAAUGCAGACGGGGAUUGGGAGCGGGGAGGACUGAUAUCAUGUAUGCAUCUGAGGCUCUCAGAAAAGUUCGGCAAACUUAAAGGAGACUCCUCAAAGCUCCGUGCUUUAAGAAAAAGAGCCUGCGAAUUUUCCCCUCCCUGCUGGAAGGAUAGGUUUUGGCAGAAAAUAGGCUGGUUGUGUUUUGGGUGAAAUGUUGCUCUUGGGGACAGCAGGUGGCCCUGCAGGGAUCCCAGAACGGGUUUAAUCCUCACAGGAAAGGGGUGCAAGAAGAAUAAACAUUCCCAAGCAUUAGGCAGUGAUCGCCCGGAGUCCUCUCUGAAUUUCCAUUUGAAGAUGUAAAGUUUCUUAAAGCUGUGUGUGACAGUGGUUACCAUGAAAGGAGAUCCCUGUCUGACCUGUCAUUUUCCUGACCACAUUGCUAUGACAGGCUCGCUCUUUCUCAGAAGUUAAAGGAAGACCCGCAGCUGUGGCUGAUUCUUCCCCUCCUCCGAGCCCAGUGGUUUCCCUGGUAAUGGACAACCUCCUUCCAAGCUUCAUCUAGCUUUUUUUGCUCAAAUGCCAAGGGAAUGCAACCGAUUUGAAAAAAGUGAAGUUGAUUUGCACAUGCAUUGAUCCAUCAGGAAGGGAAGUGCUUCUCCUUCCUUCCACAGGCAGGGCUCAUGCUGAUUCAGUGAGGUGAUACUAUUUCCUGUCUUCUCCACAGCUUCUACCCUGGGGAGACUCUGGAGCUCUAGUCUGUAAACCUAGCUAGGAAGAACCGCUGUAAAAAUGACUGAAGAGCCUGUAAAAGAGAGCCCGGAGUCCCAAAGUCUCCCACGCCAGCGCCGAUGGAGAAAAACCCCAAGAGCGAAGUGGUGGUCACCACAGUCCCCCUGGUCAGUGAGGUCCAGCUGAUGGCUGCGACAGGGGGGUGCUGAGCUCUCCUGCUACCGCUGCAUCAUCCCCUUCGCCGUGGUGGUCUUCAUCACAGGGAUAGUGGUCACCGCCGUGGCUUACAGCUUCAAUUCCCACGGCUCCAUUAUCUCCAUCUUGGGCCUGGUUCUUCUCUCCUCUGGACUUUUCCUGUUAGCUUCCAGCGCCUUGUGCUGGAAGGUGAGACAAAGGAGAAAGAAAGCCAAGCGACGGGAGAGUCAGACAGCUCUGGUGGCCAAUCAAAGAAGCUUGUUUGCUUAAGACUGAAUGAGACCAAAUGGGAAAUGCGGAAGGAAAACCUGCUGUGACUCAGUCAGCCCAUUCAUCCAGGACCGGCCGGGGAGGGGAUGAUCUGGCUUUGGAGUAGACUAGAAAAAUGGGGGUGGGUUGAAGGGGAAGGCUGGAUGUAGUCCUCAUUUGUGAGGAACGACCUGUCUUCUUUAAUGUCUGCUUUGUGAAUGCCUUCUUUAAUGACAAACUUAUUCCUAAGGGCUGUUUACUAAGACAGAAGAAUCAGCUUUCUCUUUAUGUUAUACACUUUGCCGGGGGCAUAGGACAUACACAGCAUUAGGGCCGUGUUUGGUUCACUUUGGGAAGUAGCCAAGGAGUGAUGAGAAAAUAAUGAGAUAGUCCUGGGACAAGAGAUGCCUGCCUCCAAAAGAAAUAACCUGCGCUCUUUAAGAAGCUGUAUUAUAAAAAUGUUCUGCUGAAGGUCUACAUUGCCUUGGACUUGACAUACUCAUAGGAAAUUCUAGGAUAAUAUGUUUCCAUAUGUUGGUUCGCUGGUGUUUCGUUUUAUUUCUCACUUUCCGUAACUCAUCACUGGUGGUACUUUACCUUGAAAAAUAAACUAAUAUUUUUUAUAUUGUAACAUUGGACAGUUUUAGGUGAUUCUAAUGAUGAGUCAGAAAUAAAAUAAAAAGUAUAGCUGAUAGAUGAUGUGGGGGUUAAGUUAAUAUUAAAAUAAUCAUGUAUAGCACUUUUGAUGAUUUUUAUAUAAAGGUUUAAUGUACAUUUUAUUCAAAGUAAUAAAUACUCCUUGCUGCUGAAAUUUUUUUUUUCUGCUGAAAAUUUUUAAAGAGUUGCUUCUGUUUUAGUUAUUUCUAUUGCAGUCCCAAAUUGUCCAUCUUCCCUGUUUUCUUUCUUUCUUUUUUUUUUUCAUACUGGGGAUAGAACUCAGGACCUGCGCUUGCAAGGGAAGCGCAGUGCCACUGAGCUAAAUCCUGGCUUCCCUGUUUUCAUUUGCAAAAUAUUGAUUGUGUUUUCUCAAAUGGGCGUGUGUUGCUUCUUGUAAAUUUUAUUGGAAGAUUUUUUAAAAUCUUCAUUACUUCGAAGAAUAGUAUUAUUAUCCUUACUAUAUGCUAAGGAUUUCUGUGCUAUUAUCAUUAUUAUUAGUAGUAGUAGCACCAAGGAUUGAACUUAGGACCUUGCACUUGUGAGGUAGGUGCAGUGCCACUGAACUAAAUCUCUGGGUCUCUAUGCCAUUAUAUUUAGGAAAUUAAUGCCUGGAAUCAGAAAUUUUAUAAUGUUCCAUUGCGUAUGAAUUGCAUUAGUGCUGAAUUAGUCAUUAAUUAUUUGCUUAACACAGGUUUCUGAGCACCAACUAUAUGCCAUGCAUUAUGUAAUCUUGCAGGCAGCUGGCUCCAUGGGUUCAAACUGUAAAUAAGGUUAUUGCUUGAAUUCUUCUGUGGACAGUGAACUGUCCCACAAUGAAGACUCUGUCCCACAACUCCAACCAGAAAUAUUCCUCAUUCAUAUAGUUAAACCACAUUAAACCAGAGCAAGGAAAUAGGCACAAAUACUUAAAGCUUGGUUAAAAAAAAAAAAAUCAAAGCCAAGCCUAGCACAUUCCUUGAAAGGCGUUCUACGAGGGAUUUGUAUUGAGGAAUUUAAGUAAACAUGGCAGGAGCCCUCUGGUAAGAGGACUCCCUGGUGCUCGCAUAGUUUUAGUAGCUGGAAAUGCCUCAAUGAUUUUAGAAGUAGUCAAGAUUCCGCCCAGCCAAUGCGCAUGAGUGGAACUGUGCCCAUUCAAUGUCCAUGGAUAAGGCUGAGUUUGACUCGGCUCUUUCUGCCCCAAGAGAGUCAUUCUCCCCACUGCUGUAUGAAGAAAUUUCUCAAGCAAAAUUCAAUGUUCUCCAGUCUGUUCCAAACAUGUGUAUCAAUUUUCACUCUCACUCUCACUCCCAAAGCUCCACCAAGUUAGCCAGACUAUUUGCCAUUCCUGCAAGGGCUCUGGUUUUCCUGCCUUCCUGUCUGUCCAGAGUUCUCUUUUCCCUCCGCUAUAAUGAUAAUGCCACCCUUUCCUCCAUCGCAAGCCACCCCAGUCCUGGUUUGUGUCACCACUCCCACUCCGAUGCCCUCUUCUGAAAGCCUCCCUUUAUCUGAGUAACUGCUCUCUCACCGGUUAUUAUCUCUUCAGUCUCUGAAGAUGCCACUCACUUCCUCUCAGGUUGGUGGUAUAAUAUUUCAUUCCACUUCCAAAGUCCCUUAGAAAUGUGGAAUGUCCUUUUAGUUAACUCUAAUGUUAUAUUUAACGUUAAGUCUCAUAAAGGAACGCCACAUGAACCUAACUGAGAUACUAAGUGAACUCAAGAAUGAAAAAUCAGAAAGUGUUAUUUGGUGCUAAGGACUUUGGGGUGGGGGGUUUGCUGAAGACUGAAUCCAUCUCAUACUUGUUACUAAGCAAGCACUGUACCACUGAGAUAAAUUUUCAACCCCUAAAAACCUUAUGUUUAACUGAGAACUUUCCCCCAGAUAGAUCAUCCCACUCCACCUGCCUCUAGUAUAAGCACUAGGUCUAGAUGAGUAUUUACUACCUUUGUACCUUCAGCUAGACCUGACCUCCUGCUCAUCCACUCUUGAAAAGCAAACUCAUGAAUUAUUUCCGGCCACCAGGGGGCCUCAUAUUGCAACCUGGGUCCUGGACUAAUGUGGAAAGAAUUAUAUUGUAUGGACCCAAAUGGGGUCACAUCUGGAGAUAGCAAUGUUUCUCCUAGCUGUGAGGAGUUGGAGGAGAUUCUCCCAUUGCCGGACCCCCUAUUCUCUUCCCUAAAUCACCUUACAGUGGCCAUCUCAGGGCUCUUCCAGCAUGGCAAGGACUUGCCCUAUCUGCGGAACCUCCUUCCAGUCACAUUCAAAGGUGUGCACCCCUGCCAAGCUAUAAGGCACAGGGAUGAUCCUACUAACCAUGAAGGACAACUCCCAGGAGGAAGACUAGCCUUGAAUUAUAAUCACAGUUCUCCUAUAACCUGUCCUCACUGAGCCACAUGUAGCUUCAUGAACGGUUCUAUUGUACACAGGUGAGUGUUAAAUGUGUGCAUAGAUGAUGUCAUGUGUAUAUAAAUAUAUUAAAAAGAUCAUCUGACCUCAUCCCCACCCAUUAGGAAUCAGCCAAAUCAAUGGCAGGGUUGCCCCCUCCCUGACCAUCCCAGAGUGUACAAGGACAAUACCUAAUUUAACCUGGCCUGAGGGUUUCUAGCUCAGGCUAGGAGGACUGAUGUCUGAAGACUCUGCUCUCCCCACUUUACUGUCUUUGUUAAUCUAGGGAACCUUGCCUAAAGAGGGUGCUCAAGAUCAUGUGGUCUUUUCACCUCCAUUCACUCAGGGAAGGGGGAAGGAAGACGGUGAAGAGGAGGAAGAGUUACAGAAGGAGGAAGAG
rnacentral:lncRNA from 1 species